GCAGUAGCCGCGGGAAUACAGAGGGUGCGAGCGUUAAUCGGAUUUACUGGGCGUAAAGCGUGCGUAGGCGGCUUCUUAAGUCGGAUGUGAAAUCCCUGAGCUUAACUUAGGAAUUGCAUUCGAUACUGGGAAGCUAGAGUAUGGGAGAGGAUGGUAGAAUUCCAGGUGUAGCGGUGAAAUGCGUAGAGAUCUGGAGGAAUACCGAUGGCGAAGGCAGCCAUCUGGCCUAAUACUGACGCUGAGGUACGAAAGCAUGGGGAGCAAACAGGAUUAGAUACCCCUGUAGUCCCUGUCUCUUAUAA
rnacentral:rRNA from 1 species